UUAUCUGAGGUUGAGUUUUAAUCGGGCAUCGUUUAUCGAGUUUCUUUAAAAGGUUCAUCUUAAAUUUUUGAUUUCUCAUGGGCGUGAUUCCUUCGGGAACGCUUCUUAAGGAUAUUCAAUUGGAAGAAUUCGGAUCAGAAACUAAAUUAUUCGACUUUAUAAGGUCAUUGUUGAGUUUAUAACAUUAUUUUUAAACGAUUCUUUUGUAUUUUUACGUUCAAUAAACAAUUUUACUUCUAUUUUUUGGCGAAAAAGCAUCUUUAAGAAUACACACUAACCUUCUUUUAUUUCCUUUUUUUUCAUAGCUACCCUAGAUAUCUUAGAAAUAAAACCGGUUAAUGUCAACAAAAAUCCGCUUUUUUCAUUGGUUGAUCCAAGUGGUGUGAUUUAUACGAUGAUAUUAAAUACAAAGGAGUUUUAUAUUCCCUGGAGUUUUAGAGAUUACAUUAAUCAAACGUCAAAUGAAAAUAGAGGUUAACAAUGCUUUAAUUGAGUUUUUAACCAAAUAAAGGAAGUUAGCGACUUGGAAUUAAUUAAUUUCCCCAUUUUCGAAGUUAAUUUAGUUAUGAAAGUAUUUCGGUUUCAAAGAACUAGUUUUAAAUAUUUCGUGGAGAUUUAAAGAUGACAUUAACCAAACGUCAAAUGAAAAUAGAGGUUAACGCUUAAAUUGAGUUUUUAACCAAAUAAAGAAAAUCAGCGGCUUGGAAAUGUUUUAAAUUUUAUCAUCAUAAUCAAACUCCAGAUUCUUCUUAUUGUGCCAAGGCUACCCCAUAACAUCGAGUUCUUGCUCUGCAUUUCAUCGCGGUUGUUUUGCCCGAAAAACAGAAAGAGAGAAAAAACCGAAUAAGAAGUCGAGAAAUCGGUACGCACGCACGCAGCCUCUGGUGCUUGUCUCGACGUUCGUGGUAGCCCCAUUUUUCCUUAUAAGGAGCAACCUUUAUAUGGGUUCCAAGUUGCACUUUUAUUUGACCAUGGCCUCCCUCCGCGAUUAAGCAAUAAAUGAGUCAAAAUAUGUCCAUACAUCAAGUUGUAGAUCGUCAUCAAAGAGCAUAUGGUCAAUUUUUGUUUGAUUUCGCUUUUAUGAAGAGCGAGAAACGAAAGAAUUUGAUUUUGGAGUUAUAAAUAGGCGUGAAUUAAUUUUUAACGGGCGACAAAUUUUAAAUAAUCCGGCAAUUGACCAAUUUAUUUAUGAUGUCAGAUUUGAGUGUGGGUUAAAUUUAAAUUACAAGGUGUUUUUCUAUUUUGCACGAAGACACUUAACGAUUAUUAGCGACACGAAACGAUUUUUAUUGCUUUAUUUGUUAUGUAACGUUGAGGAAGAACUUAAAUUAUUUAUUUUAAAGACGGGUAAACACUUAACGAGUGUUUACGCCGAUUAAAAAGUGAUUAAAAUUUAAUUUAAGUAAAAUAAUAAUAUUUGUU